UACGUAGGUGGCAAGCGUUAUCCGGAAUUAUUGGGCGUAAAGAAGCGCGCAGGUGGUUUGAUUAAGUCUGAUGUGAAAGCCCACGGCUUAACCGUGGAGGGUCAUUGGAAACUGGUCGACUUGAGUGCAGAAGAGGUAAGUGGAAUUCCAUGUGUAGCGGUGAAAUGCGUAGAGAUAUGGAGGAACACCAGUGGCGAAGGCUGCUUCCUGGUCUGUAACUGACACUGAGGCGCGAAAGCGGUGGGGAGCAAACAGGAUUAGAUA
rnacentral:rRNA from 1 species